rnacentral:rRNA from 1 species
GGGGGGGGGGGGGGGGGGGCGGGGGGCGGGCGAGGCGGGCGGUGAAGCUCCAGCUGGCUGGAGUGGGUCAGUGUCGAGCGUGUGGGUAACACGUGAGCAGCCUGCCCCUGACUCGUGAAUAAGCGCUGGAACCGGCUUCUAAUACUGUAUACGAGAAGGGUCCGCAUGGGCUCUUUCUGGAAAUUUUUUCGGUUGGGGAUGGGCUCGCGGCCUAUCAGCUUGUUGGGGGGGUAAUGGCUCACCAAGGCGACGACGGGUAGCCGGCCUGAGAGGGCGACCGGCCACACUGGGAUGGAGACACGGCCCAGACUCCUACGGGAGGCAGCAGUGGGGAAUAUUGCACAAUGGGCGAAAGCCUGAUGCAGCGAUGCCGCGUGAGGGAUGACGGCCUUCGGGUUGUAAACCUCUUUCAGCAGGGAAGAAGCGAAAGUGACGGUACCUGCAGAAGAAGCACCGGCUAACUACGUG